rnacentral:rRNA from 4 species
GUUGACCUCGGAUCAGGUAGGACUACCCGCUGAACUUAAGCAUAUCAAUAAGCGGAGGAAAAGAAACCAACAGGGAUUGCCCCAGUAACGGCGAGUGAAGCGGCAACAGCUCAGAUUUGGAAUCUGGCCCCCAGGGCCCGAGUUGUAAUCUGGAGAGGAUGCUUCUGGCGCGGCGCCUUCCGAGUUCCCUGGAACGGGACGCCGGAGAGGGUGAGAGCCCCGUACGGUCGGACGCCCAGCCUGUGUGAAGCUCCUUCGACGAGUCGAGUAGUUUGGGAAUGCUGCUCAAAAUGGGAGGUAAAUUUCUUCUAAAGCUAAAUACCGGCCAGAGACCGAUAGCGCACAAGUAGAGUGAUCGAAAGAUGAAAAGCACUUUGAAAAGAGG